rnacentral:misc_RNA from 1 species
AAGUCGUAACAAGGUAACCGUAGGUGAACCUGCGGUUGGAUCAUUAUUAAAUGAUAGCCAGUUCUCUCUGUUUCGGCAGAGAUUGAGCAGGCAUUAACCCUUUGUGAACUGUAAUUGUACUUGGUAGGUUCAUUCUUACCCUCGAAGCUUCGGUGAAGAGAGUGAGAAAGUGCCUACCGCCUUUAUUACCAACCCCUAUAUGAUUAUCUGAAAUUGAGUUAAUGAGAAACAACUUUUGACAACGGAUCUCUUGGCUCUC